rnacentral:misc_RNA from 1 species
GUGAAUCAUCGAAUCUUUGAACGCAUAUUGCGCUCGAGGCUUCGGCCGAGAGCAUGUCUGCCUCAGCGUCGGGUUAAUACUCGCCCCUCGAUCCCCUGCGGAUUGAUCCGGGCGGACCUGGCCGUCCCAGCCCUCACGGGCUGGGUCGGCUGAAGAUCAGAGGUUGAUGCAUGGACCCGUCAAAGGGCCGCAGCUGGUUAGGCAGCUCUGCUUGCUAUCGAUUAGCUGUUGGCCUGGGUGUGUGCAUCCGACCCUCAAACAGGAACCCACUUAUUUCCUCGACCUGAGCUCAGGCAAGAU